rnacentral:lncRNA from 1 species
GGGCCUCUAAGUCAUGAAAGCACUACAUCCAGAGAAUUAAGUAGAUCAUGAACAUGUAACAAAGGCUCUGGCAAAAGAAGAUCAAGAAGCAUUAUUGUACAAGAGCCAAUUGCCAAAGUAGAUACCAGGAGGGUUCUGCUUUUUAUAGUCAAAACAUGGUUGAUGAUGUCUAUGGAACCUCAUGCAGAAGGAGGACUCAGUCUAAUGCUCACUAUCCAAGGCAAGCUACUAGUCCAGAAUAAGGUAUACUGUCUUUUACUGAAAUGAUAGAUUUAUAUAGCUGGAGGCAACUCUUAUGAGACAUACUAGUGUUAUCAUGAAAGCUGCAGGAGUAGGAGUCAAUCAAGCAAUAGGUUAUUUCAUAAAGGACAUCCUCUGGAAAUAAAGACAGAAUUCAAAGUGAAAAGCCUGUUGGAAAAAGGAACUACAAACUCACCACUUAGACAACGCAGUCAAGGACAGCACAAUUCUAGAGUAUGGAAACCAACACAAGAAAACUUUAUCAAAAUUCAGUGACUGCUACAAAAAUGAAGAUAGCCUUUCACGCAAUCAAGCAAAUAGAGAGAAAAAGUGUGAGAAAAUGAGAAAGAGAGAUUAGGUGUCCAAAUGUGGAGACAGUCUAUGAAGAAAAAAUGAUACAGUGAGGCCUUAUAAAAAGAAGAAAUCUAAGAAUAAACACCAGAAAGACAGAAAGAUCACACCAGUAACUAAGCACAUUCUUUUCCAGUUGUUAUUACAAUUGACAGUGAUACUGACAAGGAGCUAGAAAAUAUUGAAUUUGAUAGCAGCGUUCCUUGGACAGGCACAACUCAAAUAAAUGAGAAGGAAAACAGCCUCCGUCUUCUAUUCUGGGAAUGACAGAAUGUGAAAAUAUUUAGACAGUCAGCAAGGAAAUUGGAGUAGCCGCCAAAAAUUAUAGUUUUACUACAAGAAGAGUCUUAGAUGGUAACAUUAGAAAUUCUGAGCUCGAACCUUGAGAAACAGGAAUUGGUCAGAGUCUUAUAAUGGAUACCAGUACUAACACCCCUUACACAGAAACUGUAGCUAGCCAUGUUCAAGGCACACAAGUAGAAUCUUCCAGUUAAUCGUCUUGUCCCAGGACUUUCUUCCUAGAGCAUCCAGAGGAAUCGCUAUUUGAUAGUGAAAAUGCCAAAGAGAUUUGUCAGCAGAUCCUGUUGGUUUGAUUCCCAGAGAAGAAAAAAAAAAAAA